rnacentral:tRNA from 1 species
UAUGCAUAAUUGGGAUUUUGAAAAUCUAAAUCGGCAUAUAUGUCAUGCAUAA